AAACAAACUAGUAGUGUGUUUUUAUAUCCAACUUUAAUCAUUCAUCUUAUUUUUAAAAAAAUUUAUGAUUAGUAUUUUUAUUGUUAUUAGAUAAUAAAAUAUGAAUAGUAUUUUAUGUUUGACUUAUGUUUUUAAUAUUUUUUGAAAACUCAUGUUUGCACUUAAAAUAGGAUGAUCAAAGUUGGACACGAAAACUCAUGUUUGCGCUUAAA
rfam:Oryza barthii chromosome 4, whole genome shotgun sequence.